AUGUGCACGCGUGCAUGUAAGUGUGGGGGGCACACAGGUGUGCAUGCAUGUGAGCAUGGGCCUGCGUGUGUGCACAUAUAUGAGUAUAUGCAUAUAUGUGUAUAUGCAUGUGUGUGCACAGGUGCAUGUGUGUGGCUGCACACAGGUGUGCAUGCACAAGCUCAGCCCUUGUUAUCCCCAUUCCCAGACAGGACUGCACCUCACGGCUGCGCCUCUGGAAUGACAGUGCUCACCCAGAAAGCCAAACCAAGAUCUCAGUGCCCCUUCUCCUUCGCUGCUGAAGAAACAGAUCUGAGAAGAGGUCCAGAUACUGUCACAGACAACCCCCGCGGAUGGGUGCCCACCCCCACGGAUCACUGUGGAGGCAGCUGGAUCCACGUGGAAAACGCCGCCAGUGGCUUCUCCCGCUGCUGCAGAGCAGGUGAGCUUGUGAGUCGCCUGGCAGGACACCGAGUGGCCAGAACAGCCCGGACUCCCAGCCCUGUGCUGCCUUGUGUGGGGUGCAGCCUCGGAGGGGCCUUCAAAGAGUAACUUUUCACUUCUCUGCUCUCCAUGGAGUCCCAGGGUUUAAUACAAAUGUCCAUUGUAGAUAUUUAUUAACUUAAAAAAGCAACCAACCGCUAUCACUCAGAGACUCCCUUCCUUGUUUUAAUUGGUUUGUUUAAUUGCUAGCUGUGUGGCCUGGGGCAGGUUAGCUCACCUCUCUGCGCUCUGUUUCUCCAUCUGUAUAUGGGAAUGAUAAUGUGAUCUAGUGCAUAAGAUUGAUGUGAGAAUUAAACGGAAAUGUCAGGACAAAUCACAGCACCCGGGCAAUGUUGGUGUUUCCUAUUCAAGAACUUCACCGAUUUUAUUACAAGUAAGAAGCACGAAUCCCUCCCCUGUUCACCCUGCAGUGUACCAGGUUUGCUGUGGCUCUUGUUCUCUAGACCUUUCUUGGGGUGACGGGUGGCUCAGCCCCCAGCAAGUCAGGAGUGUCCCUUUUUACUUCUCUUCAUUCUUGGUGCUUAUGAGGGCUCGGUAACCGAGGCUUUGAGGGCAGAGGGGUCAGAGCUUGGGUCCAACCAGCUUUGCUGCGCUAGAACCUUCUGCAGCCGCUUGCACUGCGCUGCACCCUCUCGCCCGCGCGGAGGCCCGGCACCUCUCCCCACCUUCAUGGAGCGCACUGCCAUCCACAGACAAAGUCUGCAGGUGUGGGGGCAAAGAGAGACCCUCGUGGAGACCCCGAGUGCGGGGAGAGCAGAAAGCAGGGGAGUCCACACAGGGCAGGCAGCACCAACUGGGGUUUCUGAGGACAGGAAAGGAGGGAGUGUCUGGUGGGAAGCUGGCGAGGAGGGGGCUGGGAGCUGGUAAAGGGGUAACGGAAGGUCGCCUAGCUGCCUACCCCAAUGGCACUCACCCCCCACCCCAGCCUGCCCUGCUCCACCCUCUUCUGCACAGGCCUGAGCCCGCUGUGGAGCCCUCUGUGGGGUCCCAAGGCCCCCACAGACCAGGGGCUCCAGCCUGCUGCCUUCCCAGACGCAGGGACCCUGGGCGCCUCCACAAGCACCCCGAAUCCUUAUCUGCUGUGGGCGAAGAGGAAAGGCCAGGGAUAAGGGUGCAUGUGGGGCACCCCAACUCUCCCCAGACGGACAGCGCUGGCCGUCCAGACCCCCGUGGGGGGGAUCCAGUGACACCCACCCCAACAGCUCCACGCUGCCGCCUUCCUGCCUUCCCAGGUCUUCACCCUCCACCAAGGAGAGAAGCCAGCGUCCUCUCCUAGCCCUGACUGACAGGAGCUGAGGGCCCGUUUCUGCAAGAAAAAACUUUCGUGGGGUGGCUCCCGCCUGUAAUCCCAGAACUUUGGGAGGUCGAGGUGGGCGGAUCAUCUGAGGUCAGGAGCUCAACCGAGACCAGCCUGAUCAACUUGGUGAAACCCCGUCUCUACCAAAAAUACAAAAAUUAGCCGGGUGUGGUGGCGGGUGCCUGUAGUCCCAGCUACUCGGAGGCUAAGGCAGGAGAAUCGCUUGAACCCGGGAGGCAGUGAGCUGAGAUCGCGCAGCUGCACUCCAGCCUGGGCGACUGAGCGAGACUCCGCCUAAGAAAGACAGAAAGAGACCCCAUCUCUACUAAAAAAUACAAAAAACUAGCCGGGCGAGGUGGCGGGCGCCUGUAGUCCCAGCUACUCGGGAGGCUGAGGCAGGAGAAUGGCAUAAACCUGGGAAGCGGAGCUUGCAGUGAGCUGAGAUCCGGCCACUGCACUCCAGCCUGGGCGACAGAGCGAGACUCCGUCUCAAAAAAAAAAUAAUAAUAAAAAAAAAAUAAAGACAGAAAGAGAAAAACUUCCAUGGCCCCAAGCACCGCCGCCAAGCCUGGGUCUAGUCGGUGUGCUCCGAACCCACCGGUCCGGUUCCCGAGACCUGCGGAGCUGCUCCGCCGCAGCGACGCCUCCAUGCAGCCCUCACCGGGAGUGCGAGCGGGACACGGUUCCCUGACCUGGGUCGCUUCCUACCUACCCGCAUUUCUGGCCCCUGAAGGAAACUCUUCCCGAGUCCCCGAGAGCCGGCUGAGAGUCCCACCGGGAUUGCGGGCUUCGCGCCUGGCACCCAGAUCGGGCCUUAGAGGCUGGACCCUGCCCGCCUCCCACUAGGACCCCGAGCCUCGUGGCCCCGCUUGCUCAGAAACCGAGGAAAUCGCGGGGCUCCCGCCAGUGCACCCCGUCCCGGUCCAGCGACCCGAGCCAGGCAGUCCCUAUGGAAGCCAGUUCCCUGCACCGAGCCUCGAAUGCAGCCACGCAACGAGGGGGCCCACGGAGUUCCACCGCCUCGUGUCCAUCGGUGAGCGGGGCCGGGAUCACCGACUCAGCCACCAGACACGGAGCCCGUCUCUAGGCCAGCCUUGGGCGGGGGCCUGGCCAGGGAGGAACUCGCACAAAGUUGGAGACUCGCACAAAGUUGGAGAAGUUUCUGCGCCCGACUCGCCGGGGCUCACGAAGGUCUCGGCCGCCUGUGUAGCUGCACUGGUCCGGGCUCCGCGCUGGCCGCCCCGUGUCGUGCGUCCUUGUCGCCAAG
ensembl:lncRNA